GCGAGUGAAGAGGGAUCAGCCCAAAUUUGUAAUCAGGCUCUUUCAGUGUCUGAGUUGUAAUUUUAAGAACUGUUUUCUGCUCUGGACCAUGUACAAGUCUGUUGAAAUGCAGCAUCAUAGAGGGUGAGAAUCCUGUUCAUGAUAUGGACUACCAGAGCUUUAUGAUACAGUCUCUAAGAGUCGAGUUGUUUGGGAAUGCAGCUCAAAGUGGGUGGUAAAUUCCAUCUAAGGCUAAAUAUUGGUGAGAGACCGAUAGCAAACAAGUACCGUGAGGGAAAGAUGAAAAGAACUUUGGAAAGAGAGUUAACAGUACGUGAAAUUGUUAAAAGGGAAACAGUUGAAGUUAGACUUGUUGUYRUUGGYUCAGCYCUUUANNAGGGUGUWUKCYRWUAAUUAACAAACCAAUGUCAAUUUUUGGGUGUUGGAUAAGGGUCAUUGNAAAUGUAGCAGUUUUGGCUGUGUUAUAGUCUUUGACUUGGNAUACAAUGCUUGGGAUUGAGGAUUGCAGUAAGCCAUUUUUUUGGUGGGACAAUUUAUUGUUCUUCUUACUGAGGAUAUUGGUGAAAUAGCUUUAAUUGACCCGUCUUGAAAC
rnacentral:rRNA from 1 species